CAGAUCAGAAGCGAGAAUGUUGACAUGAGUAGCGAUAAAGAGGGUGAGAGACCCUCUCGCCGUAAGUCCAAGGGUUCCUGCUUAAAGCUAAUCUGAGCAGGGUAAGCCGGCCCCUAAGGCGAGGCCGAAAGGCGUAGUCGAUGGGAACCACGUUAAUAUUCGUGGGCCAGGAGGAAGUGACGGAUCUCGAAGGUAGUUUGCCCUUAUCGGAUUGGGUGGGCUGCUCAGAGGUUCCAGGAAAUAGCCCUCCAUCAGACCGUACCCUAAACCGACACAGGUGGACUGGUAGAGUAUACCAAGGCGCUUGAGAGAACCACGUUAAAGGAACUCGGCAAAAUGCCUCCGUAAGUUCGCGAGAAGGAGGCCCCAUAUGUGCGCAAGCAUGUGUGGGGGGCACAAACUAGGGGGUGGCGACUGUUUACUUAAAACACAGGGCUGUGCGAAGCCAUAAGGCGACGUAUACAGUCUGACGCCUGCCCGGUGCUGGAAGGUUAAAAGGAGGGGUGCAAGCUCUGAAUUGAAGCCCCAGUAAACGGCGGCCGUAACAAUAACGGUCCUAAGGUAGCGAAAUUCCUUGUCGGGUAAGUUCCGACCUGCACGAAUGGCGUAACGAUCUCCCCGCUGUCUCUAACGUGGACUCAGCGAAAUUGAACUGUGUGUCAAGAUGCACACUACCCGCGGUUAGACGGAAAGACCCCAUGCACCUUUACUCCAGCUUUGCACUGGUAUCAGGAUUGUGAUGUGCAGGAUAGGUGGUAGGCAUCGAAGCGGGGACGCCAGUUCUCGUGGAGCCUCCCUUGAGAUACCACCCUUCGCCAUCUUGAUAUCUAACCGCGGCCCGUUAUCCGGGUCCGGGACCCUGCAUGGUGGGGAGUUUGACUGGGGCGGUCGCCUCCCAAACAGUAACGGAGGCGCGCGAAGGUAGGCUCAGACCGGUCGGAAAUCGGUCGUUGAGUGCAAUGGCAGAAGCCUGCCUGACUGCAAGUCUGACAAGACGAGCAGAGACGAAAGUCGGUCAUAGUGAUCCGGUGGUCCCAAGUGGGAGGGCCAUCGCUCAACGGAUAAAAGGUACGCUGGGGAUAACAGGCUGAUGAUGCCCAAGAGUCCAUAUCGACGGCAUCGUUUGGCACCUCGAUGUCGGCUCAUCUCAUCCUGGGGCUGGAGCAGGUCCCAAGGGUAUGGCUGUUCGCCAUUUAAAGAGGUACGUGAGCUGGGUUUAGAACGUCGUGAGACAGUUCGGUCCCUAUCUGCCGUGGGUGUAGGAGACUUGAGAAGAGUUGCCCCUAGUACGAGAGGACCGGGGUGAACGAACCACUGGUGGACCAGUUGUCGUGCCAACGGCAGUGCUGGGUAGCUAUGUUCGGACAGGAUAACCGCUGAAGGCAUCUAAGCGGGAAGCCCCCUUCAAAACAAGGUCUCCCUUGAGAGCCGUGGAAGACCACCACGUCGAUAGGCCGGAGGUGUA
rnacentral:rRNA from 1 species